AUUUGCAUAGCAAAAGAAAAUGCAGUUCCACGUUCAGCCUUGUUCUGCAAUUCAACGCGUCAGGAAUUCUGUACAACUGUGGAACCAUGUAUGGUACGUGACCGCACAAUGUUGGUUGGCAAAAGGAUAUUGGAAUAAGCAAAGGGACUCAACAUUACACAGUCAUUUCAACAUGUAGAGUCUUGUCAGCAAUGAUGGAGCAGUACUUCAGAUUUCCAGAAUCUCGUCAUGAGCUGAAGAUCAUUGCCUAUGAAUUUCAUGAAUGAUGUAGAAUGAUUGGACUGUUGAUGGAACCCACAGUGCAUGUCCUGCUUCAACAUCUGAGCAUAGGUCCUUGUUUAUCAGCAGUUUAGUUCUUCAAGCAGUCUGUGACAGUUACUUGAAAUGUUUGGACAUAUGACCUGGAUGGCCAAGUUCUGUGCAUGAUGCCCAUUUAAAUAGGAAAGGCCCAGUGGCGCAUUAAAUGGACAUUUUUCGAAUGUUCUCGAGGAUUCAGCUUACCGCCUGACAAGAAAUCUUGCUUUUUGUUCAGUAUCGAGGCCAUGGACAUUUGUAUCAUUUGCAAAAGAUACUGCGAUAUUUGUGCCUUUGUUCAUGCUUUAUAGUUGAUUAACAAUUGGAAGCCAUAACCUGUUUUUAAGAUGGUGUUAGUGGGACAAUGAAUUUUGUAAAGAUUUAAAGACUGGAAAAGAUAAUUAAAAGUCAAAAGAGUUCUGCUAUUGUUAAGCAUGCUUUAUUGAUUUGUAAUGUUAGAAAGAUAGCAUUAUUAACAGAAUAAAAUGUCCAUAAUUUGAA